rnacentral:rRNA from 1 species
GAUGAACGCUGGCGGCGUGCCUAAUACAUGACAGUCGAGCGAACAGACGAGGCGCUUGCCCCUCUGACGUUAGCGGCGGACGGGUGAGUAACAUGUGGAUAACCUACCUCUCAGACUGGGAUUACCUCGGUAAACCUGAGCUAAUACCGGAUAAUACAUGGAACUGCACGGCUCCAUAGUGCAAGACGGUUUUGCUGUUUCUUAUCGAUGGCUCCGCACCGCAUUAGCUAGUUGGUAAGGUAACGGCUUACCAAGGCAACGAUGCGUAGCCGACCUGAGAGCAUGAUCGGCCACACUGGAACUAAGACACGGUCCAGGCUCCUACGGGAGGCAGCAGUAGGGAAGCUUCUGCGAUGUUCGCAAGCCUGACGGAGCAACGCCGCUCGAGUGAUGUAGGUCUACGAAUCGUAAGACACUGUUACUAGAGAAGAACAGGUAUGUAGGAAACGAUGCUCGUCUUGACGGUAUCGAAUCAGAAAUCGACGGCUAGCUACAUG